UAAUGUAUGGGGAUCUGCCCGAUAGAGGGGGAUAACUACUGGAAACGGUGGCUAAUACCGCAUAAUGUCUACGGACUAAAGCAGGGGCUCUUCGGACCUUGCACUAUCGGAUGAACCCAUAUGGGAUUAGCUAGUAGGUGGGGUAAAGGCUCACCUAGGCGACGAUCUCUAGCUGGUCUGAGAGGAUGAUCAGCCACACUGGGACUGAGACACGGCCCAG
rnacentral:rRNA from 1 species